rnacentral:rRNA from 1 species
UCCCACCUACGGGGCGCAGCAGUAGGGAAUUUUCGGCAAUGGGGGGAACCCUGACCGAGCAACGCCGCGUGAACGAAGAAGUUAUUCGUAAUGUAAAGUUCUUUUAUCAGGGAAGAAAGAGGAAUUUGACGGUACCUGAGGAAUAAGCUCCGGCUAACUACGUGCCAGCAGCCGCGGUAAUACGUAGGGAGCGAGCGUUAUCCGGAAUUAUUGGGUGUAAAGGGUGCGUAGACGGGACAGCAAGUUAGUUGUGAAAGCCCUCGGCUUAACUGAGGAACUGCAACUAAAACUAUUGUUCUUGAGUG